AACGCACAUUGCGCCUCCUGGCAUUCCGGGGGGCAUGCCUGUUCGAGCGUCAUUAGAAGCCUUCGGGAGAGCGUGGCUCGCCCGGUCCUGGGGGAUGGUCUCUCGUAGCCCACCCCCGAAAUCCAACGGCGGACAACCACCGGUGGAACUGCUGGCGUAGUGAGUAGUCAAUACUUUCGCCGGCGGCCACCGAGGGACGGUCCCGCCGGUUAAACCCCCACAUCCUAAGGUUGACCUCGGAUCAGGUAGGGAUACCCGCUGAACUUAA
rnacentral:misc_RNA from 1 species